rnacentral:lncRNA from 1 species
ACCUCCCAGUACCACCACUCUAGGGCCCAAGCCAUUACAUAUGGAUGUUCGGGGAACAUUCAUCUAAAUCAUAGUGAAAAAAACACAGGAAUUUUCUUCCUUCUCCUAAGUUCCUGUCAGCACACAAACAAGAAUAUCUGCCCUCUCCAAUGUACUAAAUAAAAAGAUGCUGCUAGUGAAACAAUGGACCCGUGGCGGAGGAGUAGCGCUCCACCCCCAUGUGAGAGAGUCAUCUGCUCCAGCAGAGGAUCGCCCUGCCCCCACAUGAGAGAGCAGACCCAUGUCAGAGGAGCAGAGUCCCACCACCAGGGGACACAGCAUCAAGGAGCAGCAGGGGUACAGACUAACCAACUAACCAACCAGCCCAAUCCUGGACAAGGACAUACCCAGGGAGAAAAGGGAGCAAUCAGACCCCAUAACUGUAGACAAGCACUCCUGCCCCUGCCCUGGACCUGGGAGUACUAUACAGAGAGACCAACAAGAAGCCUGAAGCAGCCGGCCCUUACUAGGUUUUCCCACCCAGUUGAUUCUCAU